rnacentral:rRNA from 1 species
AGAGUUUGAUCAUGGCUCAGGACGAACGCUGACGGUGUGCUUUAGGCAUGCAAGUCGAACGAGAAAGCCCUUCGGGGUGAGUAAAGUGGCGAACGGGUGAGUAACACGUGGGCAACCUGCCCCUCGCAGGGGGACAACCGGAGGAAACUCCGGCUAAUACCCCGUACGCUUGCUGGAUCGCAUGGUCCGGCAAGGAAAGGUAGCUUCGGCCAUCCGGCGAGGGAUGGGCCCGCGUUGCAUUAGCUAGUUGGUGGGGUAACGGCCUACCAAGGCGACGAUGCGUAGCUGGUCUGAGAGGAUGAUCAGCCACACUGGGACUGAGACACGGCCCAGACUCCUACGGGAGGCAGCAGCCAGGAAUCUUGGGCAAUGGGCGAAAGCCUGACCCAGCAACACCGUGUGGGCGAUGAAGGCCUUAGGGUCGUAAAGCCCUGUUGAUAGGGACGAAGGGCGAAGGGUUAAUAGCCCCCAGCUUGACGGUACCUUUCGAGGAAGCCCCGGCUAACUACGUGCCAGCAGCCGCGGUAAUACGUAGGGGGCGAGCGUUGUCCGGAAUUAUUGGGCGUAAAGAGCGUGUAGGCGGUUCGGUAAGUCUGCUGUGAAAUCCUGGGGCUCAACCCUGGGCGUGCAGCGGAUACUGCCGGGCUAGAGGGUGGUAGAGGCGAGUGGAAUUCCGAGUGUAGCGGUGAAAUGCGCAGAUAUUCGGAGGAACACCAGUAGCGAAGGCGGCUCGCUGGGCCACACCUGACGCUGAGACGCGAAAGCGUGGGGAGCGAACAGGAUUAGAUACCCCCGUAGUCC